rnacentral:rRNA from 3 species
AGGAAUGUAUAGCAAUAGCUAGUUGCAUCAUAGUAAAUAUGAUGCAAGAUUGACUAUGUUGAAUAAAAUUCUAGGUAUGAUUAUGAUAAUGACAUUGUCUGCCUAUAUGUCUUGACCAAAUUACGUGCCAGCAGUCGCGGUAAUACGUAGAAGACUAGUGUUAUUCAUGUUUAAUCGGUUUAAAGGGUACCUAGACGGCAGAUCAAGCUUUCCGAGCAGAAAAAAGAAAAGGACUAAUUUGCUAGAGUUACUUACGAUGGGGCUUUAAAGUACUGCUGGUGUAGAGAUGAAAUCCUAUUAUACCUAAGUUCGAAGGAAUAAUAAUGGCACAGGUAUAGGCGAAGGCAUCCCCUUAUGUGAUAACUGACGUUGAGGGACGAAGGCUUUUAACAGCGAACGGGAUUAGAUACCCCAUUAGUGGAAGCAGUAAAUGAUGAAUGUCAUAGAUUAGCUAGAUAGGUUCAUUCUAUAAAUGAAAGUGUAAGCAUUCCACCUCAUGAGUAAUAUGGCAACAUUGGAAUUGAAAUCAUUAGACCGUUUCUGAAACCAGUAGUGAAGUAUGUUGUUUAAUUUGAUGAUCCGCAAAAAACCUUACCACAAUUUGAAUAUAUAUAUUUUUUAUUGUAUCGCUAUUAAUUUUCUUCUCUUUAUGACACAAUAUUAAUAAAGAGGCAAUAAGAUAUAUUUACAAGCGCUGCACGGUUGUCUUCAGUUAAUGUCGCGAGAUUUUGGUUAGAUCCAUUAAAUUAACGUAAACCCUUACUUUAUUUUUAGAUAGAGUUGUUCCCCACUAUAUUGGAUACGAU